GACGAACGCUGGCGGCGUGCUUAACACAUGCAAGUCGAACGAAGCAAUUUAUCUAGAUCCCUUCGGGGUGACGGAUUUAUUGACUGAGUGGCGGACGGGUGAGUAACGCGUGGGUAACCUGCCUUAUACAGGGGGAUAACAGUUAGAAAUGACUGCUAAUACCGCAUAACCCGCUAGUGUCGCAUGACACAGACGGAAAAGAUUUAUCGGUAUAAGAUGGACCCGCGUCUGAUUAGCUGGUUGGUGAGGUAACGGCUCACCAAGGCGACGAUCAGUAGCCGGCUUGAGAGAGUGAACGGCCACAUUGGGACUGAGACACGGCCCAAACUCCUACGGGAGCAGCAGUGGGGAAUAUUGGGCAAUGGGGGAAACCCUGACCCAGCAACGCCGCGUGAAGGAAGAAGGCUUUCGGGUUGUAAACGUUCUUUUACCAGGGACGAAGAACGUGACGGUACCUGGAGAAAAAGCAACGGCUAACUACGUG
rnacentral:rRNA from 1 species